AUUCAGUUGACGAGUCCCAAAUAAAACGGAACGCAUGUCCUGGAU
rfam:Schistosoma curassoni strain Dakar, Senegal genome assembly, scaffold: SCTD_scaffold0000916